rnacentral:rRNA from 1 species
GUCGAUCCUGCCGGAGGUUACUGCUAUCGAGGUUCGACUAAGCCAUGCGAGUCGAAUGUAGCAAUACAUGGCGUACUGCUCAGUAACACGUGGACAACCUGCCCUUGAGACGGGGAUAAACCCGGGAAACUGGGUAUAAUACCCGAUAGUCCUCGACUGCUGGAAUGCAUCGAGAACUAAAGCUCCGGCGCCUAAGGAUGGGUCUGCGGCCUAUCAGGUAGUAGUGGGUGUAGUGUACCUACUAGCCUACGACGGGUACGGGUUGUGAGAGCAAGAGCCCGGAGAUGGAUUCUGAGACACGAAUCCAGGCCCUACGGGGUGCAGCAGGCGCGAAAACUUUACAAUGCUGGAAACAGCGAUAAGGGGACCUCGAGUGCCAGGUUACAAAUCUGGCUGUCGUGAUGCCUAAAAAGCAUUGCAUAGCAAGGGCCGGGCAAGACCGGUGCCAGCCGCCGCGGUAACACCGGCGGCUCGAGUGGUAACCGUUAUUAUUGGGUCUAAAGGGUCUGUAGCCGGCCGGAUAAGUCUCUUGGGAAAUCUGGCAGCUUAACUGUCAGGCUUUCAGGAGAUACUGUCUGGCUCGAGGCCGGGAGAGGUGAGAGGUACUUCAGGGGUAGGGGUGAAAUCUUGUAAUCCUUGAAGGACCACCAGUGGCGAAGGCGUCUCACCAGAACGGACCUGACGGCAAGGGACGAAAGCUAGGGGCACGAACCGGAUUAGAUACCCGGGUAGUCCUAGCCGUAAACGAUACUCGCUAGGUGUCGGCCACGGUGCGACCGUUGUCGGUGCCGUAGGGAAGCCGUGAAGCGAGCCACCUGGGAAGUACGGCCGCAAGGCUGAAACUUAAAGGAAUUGGCGGGGGAGCACCACAACGG